rnacentral:rRNA from 1 species
AACGAACGCUGGCGGCAGGCUUAACACAUGCAAGUCGAACGCCCCGCAAGGGGAGUGGCAGACGGGUGAGUAACGCGUGGGAAUCUACCGUACCCUACGGAACAACAGUUGGAAACGACUGCUAAUACCGUAUACGCCCUUAGGGGGAAAGAUUUAUCGGGGUAUGAUGAGCCCGCGUUGGAUUAGCUAGUUGGUGGGGUAAAGGCCUACCAAGGCGACGAUCCAUAGCUGGUCUGAGAGGAUGAUCAGCCACAUUGGGACUGAGACACGGCCCAAACUCCUACGGGAGGCAGCAGUGGGGAAUAUUGGACAAUGGGCGCAAGCCUGAUCCAGCCAUGCCGCGUGAGUGAUGGAGGUCUUAGGAUUGUAAAGCUCUUUCACCGAUGAAGAUAAUGACGGUAGUCGGAGAGGAAGCCCCGGCUAACUUCGUGCCAGCCGCCGCGGUAA